ensembl:lncRNA
AUGGUUAAAAACAAAGCUAUAAUUCUACUCAUUGUGAUUGUUGGUCUACUCUCGCUAUCGUGUCUCUCUACUUUUUUUUGUUUGUUUGUUUUUGUUGUUUUUGUUCGCCUGCAGGGAAUUCUUGUGUUAAUGUGCAAAGUAAUAAAUGGGUAUUUCAUCCCUAUAACAUAACUGUGUGUGCUCAUCAUUGACAUUUAGCCUGUAAUAUUGAUUAAAAGGUGAAUUUAUGCCCACACAGAGCUAGAUCUGCACUUGCCACCAAAGCCUACAUAUGCAUUUAUUGUCACUAGAUGGCAUUCUUUACCAAAGUAAAUCAGAUUACAGGCUGACGGCAGUUUACAUAUUAAUGAUGUAAACUGUUCCUGUCCUUGGUUGCAUUCUAAGAACAGCUGAAAGGACGUAACAAUAUCGGCCUGAAGAAGCCUGAAGAAAUCUGAACACAUUUAAUUUCUUCAAUCAAGCUUUAGUAAAACAGGUGUUAAGUUAGUAGUCCUGGCAAGAGGGUAGGGAUGGGGUCCUGUGUGUGAAUGGUGACUUGAAAUGUUAGCUGAGUAGUCAAAGAAAAUUUGAUUUUUAUUUAAUUUUUUAAUAGAAUGCAAUUUUGGAAAUUUAAAAUUUAAGAAUGUUACGUAAGUAAUGGGAUAAAUUUUUAUUUUUCUCAACAAAAAAACAAAAAUACAUGCUGUACAAUACAGAAAAGAGUCCAAAAAUUAACUUUGGAAAUUGUCGUGGGGCCAUAUUUAACUGUAUAAAUAGGAUCUUUUCUCUUAAUGAUUUCAUUGUCAAAAAAUUUGACACUUUGUGUCCUUUAUUGUAAAUACAGUUAACAUUCCAUUAUUUACAUGGAAUAACAGGGAAUGUAGUAAUAAUGGUGCAUAAGAAAGUUAAAUUAUGUUAUUUCUAUACAUUUUUGAAAAAUUGAUCAUUUACUCUCAUUUAACUGUACAAAAUCUAAAAUGAUUUCCUGUAUACCAGUGCAUCUAAAAUAUUUUAUUUUGUGGAAAUAAAGGUUUUAUGGUUAAAAAGUUAACUACAAACUUAACUAUAUUCUAUAUUCAUUAUACAUGAUGCAAACAUUGUCAUGACUUGUUUUGUUGUUGUGAUGACUAUGCCUAUAGCUCAUGAAAAUCAGAAAUCCAGUUUAAAUUUAAAGAACAAAAAACUAUUCACACAGUAAAUAUGUAUGUCUAACUCAAUACCUGCAACCACAAUCAGAGGGAAGACUGCUUACUUGAUGGUUGUUCAGAUGUCUAUCAUUGAUGUCCUCUUAUAGGAGGGUAAGCCACAGGUCUUGAUAAAAAGGCUGGCUGUAUGGAGGUUUGUAAAUAAUAAAGUUGGCUGAAGGGAAAAGUAUGAGGGAGACAAAGAGCAUGGCCACAGACUCGAGAGGACUGUCAGGAAAAGUUGAUUCAAGAACUUCACAAGGAGUGGACUGAGGCUGGUGUCAGUGUAUAUAGACAUCUUCAUGACAGGGGGCAUAACUGUUGCUUUACUACUACUGCCAAACCACCCUGAACCAGAGACUUUAGAAGUGUCUUAUGCCAAGUAGAAAAAGAAGUGGACUACUGCUCUGUGGUCCUCUUUUCAGCUAAAAGCACAUUUUGCACCACAUUUGGAAAUCAAGUCCUUUUCUGGAGCAAAAGUGGAGAGUGCGGUCUGUGUCUGUGUAUCACAUGCUGAUGGGUUUUGGUGGUUGAUUGGUCCACUGUGUUUUAUCAAAUCCAAAGUCAAUGCAGUUGUCUACCUGGAGAUUUUAUAGCACUUUAUGGUUCCACCUGUUGUCAAGCUUUAUGAGAAUGCUGAUUUCCUUUUCCAGCAGGACCUAGCACCUGCCCACAGAGACAACUAUUAUAAAUCUCAAGUUAUUACUGUGGUGGACUCACCUGACCUGACCCACACAGAGAGUCUAUAGAAUACUGUCAAGAGGAAAAUGAGAAAAAUACAGAUGAGCUGAAGGCAGCUAUCAAAGCAACCUUCAACAACACCUUAGCAGGCUUAAAAGGCAUGCAAUGUGUUUGCCUUUUUAAAGUAAAUUGUUGAAAGAAUUAAACUUUUUCAUGAUAUUCAGAUUUUCUUUAGAUGCAUUACUAUAUACUGAAACAAACAAACAAACAAAACAACACAACAUUUCCUGAAGAAGGAAU